GUUUUAAGUUCCUCGGCAUACACAUCACAGACAAACUGAAUUGGUCCACUCACACAGACAGCAUCGUGAGGAAGGCGCAGCAGCGCCUCUUCAACCUCAGGAGGCUGAAGAAAUUCGGCUUGUCACCAAAAGCACUCACAAACUUCUACAGAUGCACAAUCAAGAGCAUCCUGGCGGGCUGUAUCACCGCCUGGUAUGGCAACUGCACCGCCCUCAACCGUAAGGCUCUCCAGAGGGUAGUGAGGUCUGCACAACGCAUCGCCGGGGGCAAAUUACCUGCCCUCCAGGACACCUACACCCCCCGAUGUCACAGGAAGGCCAAAAAGAUCAUCAAGGACAACAACCACCCGAGCCACUGCCUGUGCACCCCGCUAUCAUCCAGAAGGUGAGGUCAGUACAGGUGCAUCAAAGCUGGGACAGAGAGACUGAAAAACAGGUUCUAUCUCAAGUCCAUCAGACUGUUAAACAGUCACCACUAACAUAACAGUGCUGCCAACAUACUGACUCAACUCCAGCCACUUUAAUAAUGGAAAAUUAAUGUAAUAAAUGUAUCACUAGCCACUUUAAACAAUGUCACUUAAUAUAAUGUUUACAUACCCUACAUUACUCAUUUCAUAUGCAUAUACUGUACUCUAUACCAUCUACUGCACUUUGCCAUCUUUAUGUAAUACAUGUAUCACUAGCCACUUUAAACAAUGCCACUUUUAUGUUUACAUACCCUACAUUACUCAUCUCAUAUGUGUAUAUACUGUACUCGAUACCAUCUACUGCAUCUUGCCUAUGCCGUUCUGUACCAUCACUCAUCCAUAUAUCUUUAUGUACAUAUUCUUUAUCCCUUUACACUUGUGUGUAUAAGGUAGUUGUUGUGAAAUUGUUAGGUUUCUCCAUUACUCGUUGGUUAUUACUGCAUUGUCGGAACUAGAAGCACAAGCAUUUCGCUACACUCGCAUUAACAUCUGCUAACCAUGUGUAUGUGACAAAUACAAUUUGAUUUGAUUUAGUAUGUACAAGCUGGAAGUAGAAGCCUAAGAGUUGCUGUUCACUAGUUACUCCAAUUAGGGGAGGGAUGGUAGACUCCAGUGUGAUGAGAGAGAAUUCUGCAACCUAUAGGUUUAAUGUAUAGUUAUUAAUGGACAAGUCAGAAAUGUCAACAAUGCUCAUCAUUGUACACACACACACACACACACACACACA
ensembl:lncRNA